rnacentral:lncRNA from 1 species
CAGAGACACACACCUCUGAGCUCAGAGGACGCAGGGAGUCCUGAGACCCUGUGCGAAGUCUCACCUCUGCACUGCUUCUGUCCUCAGGCACAACCAUUUGCCAGUCUGGGAAGGAGUGGAGUGUCCAGGUGGGAUCUGCGCAGAGUGCCUAAGUGUGGAGUUGGGUGCAAGAAGUACUCAGGCCUGCUGAACCGGGCUCCGUGCCUGCCUCACAGUCUGCCCUCCACACCCACCUUCCAAGGAAGCAACGGAAAUAGAAACUUCCCCCUAGGUCUGAGGCCCCAGGGACCCUCACAGGGUACCAAGAGGCCAGCUCCAAAUCUCCUGGCUCGUUCUUUCCACCCUCACACUCAAGGGAACAAGAAGACUUUCCCAGAGAGGAAGGAAGUGCUUAGGUGUCCCAGGGCCAAAGAAGAUGCCUAGGAGGGCAGCAGUAGCCCAGCUGACCCCAUGGAGAGCCUGCUCCCCCACCCCUGCCCCCUGCGCUGCAUAUAUUUUCUCCCCCUAAAAUAGCAUCUCUGGAGGGAGGAGUGGGGGAGUUCUCAGUUCACUGUUCUCUCCUUCCCACAGUGCGUUCACAGCUCUCUCACUGUCUCUCACGACCUGGUUUCCCUGCCAGGCCCUUCUGCUCUGCCUCCACCUCGCCCUGCCAGGUGCCAGGACCUCUUGGCCAGAGAGGGGGCCUGCUCUCCAUGGCCCAUCAUUUCCCACUUCCAAGCCGUGACUGUCACACCAUUCCCUCCCCUCUUUGGGACAGAAGUAAAUUCAAUCCACAC